GCAAACUUGGUCAUUUAGAGGAAGUAAAAGUCGUAACAAGGUCUCCGUAGGUGAACCUGCGGAGGGAUCAGCCCGAGGUCGGGGGGGCCGGAAGCUCCCCCAGUCCAAACCCGUGGAAAAAGCCCGUGCGGCGGCGUCAGCGAAGGUGGGUUUUUUUUCAUUUGUCUUUUUUUGGAAACGCCGAGGAAAAAAACUUUCAACAAAGGAUCUCUUGGCUCUCUAGAGGAAGUAAAAGUCGUAACAAGGUCUCCGUAGGUGAACCUGCGGAGGGAUCAGCCCGAGGUCGGGGGGGCCGGAAGCUCCCCCAGUCCAAACCCGUGGAAAAAGCCCGUGCGGCGGCGUCAGCGAAGGUGGGUUUUUUUUCAUUUGUCUUUUUUUGGAAACGCCGAGGAAAAAAACUUUCAACAAAGGAUCUCUUGGCUCUCACAUCGAUGAAGAACGCAGC
rnacentral:misc_RNA from 1 species